rnacentral:rRNA from 1 species
CGGUAAUUCCAGCUCCAAUAGCGUAUACUAAAGUUGUUGCAGUUAAAAAGCUCGUAGUUGGAUUUCUGCGGGGACGGAGCGGCCGGACGUAACUUGCGUCUCGAGCUAGCGCUUUCCCCGCAUCCUGCCGCGAACCGUGCUACCAUUAGUUUGGUGGCGCUGGGGAUCGGCUCGAUUACUUUGAGAAAAAUAGAGUGUUCAAAGCAGGCCACACGCCUUGAAUAAGUUAGCAUGGAAUAAUGACUAAGGACUUUGGUUCUUUUCGACAGGUGAGCUCAGCUUUUUGAGUAUUGUUUGGAGUAUUUAUUUGUUCUCAGAAUAAACUAAGUACAAUAAACGGCCGCUGAUUUCGUUGGUGUUCGGGACUGAAGUAAUGAUUGAUAGGGACAGUUGGGGCGGUCCGUAUUCCAAAGCGAGAGGUGAAAUUCUUAGACCUUCGGAAGACGAACAGCUGCGAAAGCGUUCCGCAAGGAUGUUCCCUUUGAUCAAGAACGAAAGUUGGGGGAUCGAAGACGAUCAGAUACCGUCGUAGUCUCAACUAUAAACUAUACCAGCUAGGGAUCGGCCAACGUUUAAUUAUUCGACUUGGUCGGCACCUUAUGAGAAAUCAAAGCAUCUGGGUUCCGGGGGGAGUAUGGUCGCAAGGCUGAAACUUAAAGGAAUUGACGGAAGGGCACCACCAGCCGUGGAGCCUGUGGCUUAAUUUGACUCAACACGGGAAAACUUACCAGGUCCAGACAUAGGAAGGAUUGACAGAUUGAUAGCUCUUUCUUGAUUCUGUGGGUGGUGGUGCAUGGCCGUUUUUAGUCGGUGAAGUGAUUUGUCUGCUUAAUUGCGUUAACGGACGAGACCCCAGCCUGCUAAAUAGCGCGGCCGAGCUUUGCUCGGUGCGAGCUUCUUAGAGGGACCAUGAUGCGCGAUAGCACAAGGAAGUUUGGGGCAACAACAGGUCUGUGAUGCCCUUAGAUGUUCUGGGCCGCACACGGGCUACACUGGCGCCUGCAACGAGCAUAUCAGCUGGCCCGAGAGGGUCUUGGCUAAUCUUUGGAACCGGCGCCGUGCUUGGGAUUGACCAUUGCAAUUGUUGGUCAUGCAACGAGGAAUGCCUUGUAAACGCGAGUCAUCAGCUCGCAUUGAAUACGUCCCUGCCCUUUGUACACACCGCCCGUCGCUCCUACCGAUGAAUGUUCCGAUGAAAUUUUCGGAGAGCGCCAGAGAACGGGGCUCUGUCUUGUAGAUCUGGAGGCUCAAAGUCACUUAAAUCUGAACAUUUCGAGGAAGGAGAAGUCGUAACAAGGUAGCCG